UUAUUAAUAGUUAAAGGAUAUAACGCUAAACUGCAAUUUUAGAAUUGAUUAACUUCUCCCCAUAUCUUAAUAGA
rnacentral:tRNA from 1 species